GGACGGUUAGCUCAGUUGGGAGAGCACCUGCUUGACGUGCAGGGGGUCAUGGGUUCGAGCCCCCUAUCGUCCACCA
rnacentral:tRNA from 1 species